rnacentral:rRNA from 1 species
AUUGAACGCUGGCGGCAGGCUUAACACAUGCAAGUCGAGCGGGGUGAUGGUGCUUGCACUAUCACUUAGCGGCGGACGGGUGAGUAAUGCUUAGGAAUCUGCCUAUUAGUGGGGGACAACAUCUCGAAAGGGAUGCUAAUACCGCAUACGUCCUACGGGAGAAAGCAGGGGAUCACUUGUGACCUUGCGCUAAUAGAUGAGCCUAAGUCGGAUUAGCUAGUUGGUGGGGUAAAGGCCUACCAAGGCGACGAUCUGUAGCGGGUCUGAGAGGAUGAUCCGCCACACUGGGACUGAGCAACGGCCCAGACUCCUCCGGGAGGCAGCAGUGGGGAAUAUUUGACAAUGGGGGGAACCCUGAUCCAGCCAUGCCGCGUGUGUGAAGAAGGCCUUAUGGUUGUAAAGCACUUUAAGCGAGGAGGAGGCUCUUUUGGUUAAUACCCAAGAUGAGUGGACGUUACUCGCAGAAUAAGCACCGGCUAACUCUGUGCCAGCCGCCGCAGUAA